rnacentral:lncRNA from 10 species
UACCCACCGACUCCCACUGUGGGGAUUAGGGAUGUGUGAGCAGAGUCUUAGCGACUAGCUUCUCCUCCUCCCCAUAUCAACACCCUUCAAUGCUGACUUCUCAAAGUAUGGUGCUAGGGCGUCACCUGGAAGCUUGUUACGCCUCUCCCCAGAACUACUGUGUCCGAAACUGCAUUUAAACCAGAUCCUCGGGGGAUUUAGAGCUGGUUAACAAAAUGACCAGAGGAUUAAAGUUUGGAAAUCUCCAAUUUCGACUAUAUUGAUUACAUUGCCUGCGUGUUCAACAACUCUGACAAUAUUUGACCCAAUAAACGAGUGCCCAGCAAGGUCAAAGCACAA